UAGCCUGUGAAGAAACUUACGUCAAUUUGGCUUCUUGCCCUCCAUCUGGAGUACUAUUGCUGAAAAGGUACCUUGCUUGCCAUCAAGUGAGAUCUGCCAGUGGAAAGGACUGACUCUUGUGUCUGGCCAUUAUUCAUUCACACAGUCACUUGAGUGACAUCUUGAACUCUUAACGGCAUUCAGCCGACACAAGCAACUUCUGCCUUCAUGAGGACCCACAGAAAUCCUCCUCCUCUGAGUCCUGGUGGACCAUGAGUUCCUGAUUAGCCAUUUUCUAUACCUGCAUGGAACAACACAAUGCCAGCAGCGAGAUGGAACGUGUAUCGUCCUCUGAAUGUAUAACCGUUGGUGAUGAAGCUCUCAUCAACAGCAGUAGAGCAGGAAGAAAAAAUGCAGGCUCUCUAGGAGACAAGAAAUUAAGAAACGGUUAC